AGGUAUCAUGGCUAAAGUUUACCUAAUUACAUGACAUAAUUAUAGUUUAACAACUAAACAUGCAAAUUAUACAUUAUAUAUACAAAUACAAAUUCGUCAUAGAGAUUUGUAUAUCAGCCUCAAAUUUACUUUGUAUAAAAAUACAAGCGUAUAUUAAUCCUGAAAUUAGAGAUUUGUAUAUGAGUCUCGAUAUAUAAAAACAUACAAAUACAAAAGAAACGUAUAUUCAACUAUUUAAUAUAAUCCUUAGUUGUAAAUAUUAAUUAUUUUAAACCUUAGUUAUGUCCGAUAAUUAUCACAUCAAACUCCUAACUCAGGUAUGUCUAUCAUGAUAAAGGCAAACAAUGCUCAAAAAAGGCCUAUAAUAUUUAUUCAAGACCCACACGGACAUUACAUUAGGAAUAAGAUAAUUAAUGCACAAAUAAGGCAUGUGAAUUUCAAAUAA
rnacentral:lncRNA from 1 species